rnacentral:ncRNA from 1 species
ACAGACUUAGUCCUAACCUUACCGUUAAUUCUUGCCAAACAUAUACAUGCAAGUAUCCGCAUUCCAGUGUAAAUGCCCACAACCUCUCAACCAGACUAGAGGAGCAGGCAUCAGGCACACCCAUUGUAGCCCAAGACGCCUUGCUUAGCCACACCCCCACGGGUUUUCAGCAGUAAUUAACAUUAAGCUAUAAGUGCAAACUUGACUUAGUUAUGGCAACCCCAAGGGCCGGUAAAUCUUGUGCCAGCCACCGCGGUCAUACAAGAGGCCCAAAUUAACUGUAACACGGCGUAAAGAGUGGUACCAUGAUAUCACACAACUAGGAUCAAAAUGCAACUGAGCUGUCAUAAGCCUACGAUGCAUUCAAGACCACCGUCAAGACAAUCCUAGCAUAAAAGACUUAUUAUACCCACUAAAGCUAAGACCCAAACUGGGAUUAGAUACCCCACUAUGCUUAGCCCUAAAUCCUGAUACUUCCAAUACUAAAGUAUCCGCCAGAGAACUACGAGCACAAACGCUUAAAACUCUAAGGACUUGGCGGUGCCCUAAACCCACCUAGAGGAGCCUGUUCUGUAAUCGAUAACCCACGAUACACCCGACCACUUCUAGCCCCAAAGCAGCCUACAUACCGCCGUCCCCAGCUCACCUUAUAUGAAAGCACAAACAGUGAGCACAAUAGCCACCCGCUAAUAAGACAGGUCAAGGUAUAGCCUAUGAAGUGGAAGAAAUGGGCUACAUUUUCUAAACUAGAAAAAUCAACGAAAAGGGAGAUGAAAAUCUCCCUAGAAGGCGGAUUUAGCAGUAAACGGAAACAAUAAUGUCCCGUUUAAACCUGGCCCUAGGGUACGUACAUACCGCCCGUCACCCUCCUCACAAGCCAAAUACUUAUAUAAUUAAAACUAAUAAAUAGCUAAAGAUGAGGUAAGUCGUAACAAGGUAAGUGUACCGGAAGGUGCACUUAGCAC